rnacentral:misc_RNA from 1 species
GAUGAAGAACGUAGUGAAAUGCGAUAAGUAAUGUGAAUUGCAGAAUUCAGUGAAUCAUCGAAUCUUUGAACGCACAUUGCGCCCGCCAGUAUUCUGGCGGGCAUGCCUGUUCGAGCGUCAUUUCAACCCUCAGGCCCCCAGUGCCUGGUGUUGGGGAUCGGCCCAGCCUUCCUGUAAGGCCGCCGGCCCCGAAAUCUAGUGGCGGUCUCGCUGUAGUCCUCCUCUGCGUAGUAGCACAACCUCGCAGUUGGAACGCGGCGGUGGCCAUGCCGUUAAACACCCCACUUCUGAAAGUUGACCUCGGAUCAGGUAGGAAUACCCGCUGAACUUAAGCAUAUCAUAAGCGGAGGA